rnacentral:snRNA from 1 species
GUGCUCGCUUCGGCAGCACACAUACUAAAACGGGGACAAUACAGAGAAGAUUAGCAUGGCCCCUGGCAAGGACGACACGCAGAUUUGUGAAGCAUUCCAUAUUUUU